rnacentral:rRNA from 1 species
UACGAAGGGGGCGAGCGUUGUUCGGCUUUACUGGGCGUAAAGGGCGCGUAGGCGGCCCUCUUUGUCGCGUGUGAAAGCCCCGGGCUCAACCUGGGAAUUGCGCGCGAAACGGGGGGGCUUGAGUUCGGGAGAGGAGCGUGGAAUUCCCAGUGUAGAGGUGAAAUUCGUAGAUAUUGGGAAGAACACCGGUGGCGAAGGCGGCGCUCUGGACCGAGACUGACGCUGAGGCGCGAAAGCGUGGGGAGCAAACAGG